rnacentral:rRNA from 1 species
GACGAACGCUGGCGGCGUGCCUAAUACAUGCAAGUUGAGCGCUGAAGGUUGGUACUUGUACCAACUGGAUGAGCAGCGAACGGGUGAGUAACGCGUGGGGAAUCUGCCUUUGAGCGGGGGACAACAUUUGGAAACGAAUGCUAAUACCGCAUAAAAACUUUAAACACAAGUUUUAAGUUUGAAAGAUGCAAUUGCAUCACUCAAAGAUGAUCCCGCGUUGUAUUAGCUAGUUGGUGAGGUAAAGGCUCACCAAGGCGAUGAUACAUAGCCGACCUGAGAGGGUGGUCGGCCACAUUGGGACUGGGACACGGCCCAAGCUCCUACGGGAGGCAGCAGUAGGGAAUCUUCGGCAAUGGACGAAAGUCUGACCGAGCAACGCCGCGUGAGUGAAGAAGGUUUUCGGAUCGUAAAACUCUGUUGGUAGAGAAGAACGUUGGUGAGAGUGGAAAGCUCAUCAAGUGACGGUAACUACCCAGAAAGGGACGGCUAACUACGUG